GGCUAUUUGGUUUACAAGUAAGUGAUCACAACCAGUACCAGUUACAGAUUCCUUUGUUCCUUCCCCACUCCCACUGCUUCACUUGACCAGCCUUAA
ensembl:misc_RNA Y_RNA Y RNA